GAUGAACGCUGGCGGCGUGCCUAAUACAUGCGAGUCGAGCGAACGGACGAGAAGCUUGCUUUUCUGAUGUUAGCGGCGGACGGGUGAGUAACACGUGGAUGACCUACCUAUAAGACUGGGAUAACUUCGGGAAACCGGAGCUAAUACCGGAUAAUAUUUUGAACCGCAUGGUUCAAAAGUGAAAGACGGUCUUGCUGUCACUUAUAGAUGGAUCCGCGCUGCAUUAGCUAGUUGGUAAGGUAACGGCUUACCAAGGCAACGAUGCAUAGCCGACCUGAGAGGGUGAUCGGCCACACUGGAACUGAGACACGGUCCAGACUCCUACGGGAGGCAGCAGUAGGGAAUCUUCCGCGAUGGGCGAAAGCCUGACGGAGCAACGCCGCGUGAGUGAUGAAGGUCUUCGGAUCGUAAAACUCUGUUAUUAGGGAAGAACAUAUGUGUAAGUAACUGUGCACAUCUUGACGGUACCUAAUCAGAAAGCCACGGCUAACUACGUG
rnacentral:rRNA from 1 species